UAUGACUCCAACAGAACACUCACAGAAAGGAGAGUGGUGCCAAACUACAAGACAGCCAGCAUAUCCUCGCUCCUGAUAUCCUGAUGUAUGCAUUCCAUUUCAUUAUAUGACUCCAACAGGACACCUACACAAAGGAGCUGUUAAAGCAGUGUCCUUCUACAAACAACAAGACAGCGAGCAUGUAAACAAGGCCUUGUUUGUCCACUUCCUGAAGGGGCUGAAGCAUGAUGGCCUUGACACCUCAGUCCUUGCUUCCAUUUACAGCUGUGUUGUGGAGCGCAUUCUCACAUCCUAUGGUCUGCAGCGGGUGGUGUCAUCGUGUUAUUUAUCAUCGUUUGUGUAAAUCUUACACAUCUUACACAAAAGUCUAAAAUAAUCUAAACUUCAUUUACUCUCCAUGUAUAGAUCAAGAUAGACUUGCAGAACAGGCUGCAGGGCAACAGUCUGAUAGCCUGCAUGAAAGCAUAAAUGGUCCGCACUUGUUAAAGAGUGCAAUUAUCAAAGGGCCCUUGAAUUGUGUUUUUUUAAACCAAGGAGGAUGGCUGUAGCGAUGCUGUCAGCUCUGCCAUAAGCAGUGACUGUGAUUACGUUUGCACAUUUUGAAAAUGUUGUUUUUCUUUUGCAUUCUUUUCCACUUCAUUGUUGUAUAGUUUGUAUAUUGUUUGUUAAAGUUGCACACAUUAAUUCACUGUUCUUAUUUGUAAAAAAUUGUAUAGUGUGGUAUAGUUUGUAUGGUGGAGUCUUUAUUGUAUCGUACAAACAAGAACACCCCACCCCACCAUACCACUUUGACUAACCAAUUUUCUGCGGGGAACCCUGGAGGCUUUCUACAGGUAUUUUGUGAAACAUAGGGGUUUCUAUGGUAGUGGUUGCUAAGCUAUUGCUAGGGUAACUGAGAAGGUUGCUAUGGUGUUGCUACAGGAUAUAUAGUGGUUGCUAUGCAGGUUUAUAGGGUAAUCAUGUUGGUUGCUAGGUUGGUGAUAGAGUAACUGAGAAGGUUGCUAGGGUGUUGCUAGAGUAGAUAUGGUGGUGGCUAUACUAAAUUAAGUGGUUGCUAUGCUGGUUGCUAGGGUAAUUGAGAUGGUUGCGAGGCUAGUCAUGUUGGUUGACUAUCAAAGUGGUUGCUAGGUUGGCAUUGUACAGGUGGUUGCUAGGUUGUUGAUAGGGUAACCAAGAAGGUUGCUAGGGUGUUGCUAGGGUAGAUAUGGUGGUUGCUAUUCCAAAUAAAGUGGUUGCUAUGCUGGUUGCAAGGUUAAUCAUGUUGGUUGCAAUGGUGGUUGCUCGGUUGACAUUGUGGUGGUAGUUGUGAGGUUGUUGGUAGGGUAAUUAAUAUGGUUGCUAGGUUGUUGCUAUGGUUCUUAUGUUGGUUGCUAGGUUGUUGCUAGGGUAACUUAGAAGAAUUUUGUUCAGCUAAUACAUUUUGGCCUACACUAUUAAGGGACAGCUGAAUUGACCAUCUAAACCAUAUAUUUUCUUAAAGCCUAUAGUCUGUAGAUGUCAAUUAAUAUGAAUUAAGACAUGUCCAACAUUCCUACUUACUUUGGUGCAUCAUAUAGGCUUAAGCAAUACUGCUAUUUUUGCUCUUAGACUAUAAAAAUCCAUAAUCACUUUAAAAACGCUAAUUUUUUAGUUUUUGAAAGUCAAUUUCUUUAAAUCAUGCUUAAAAUUGUAACCAUAUUCUUUAUUGAGUUAUGUUAAUUGACUAUAAUACUAUUGUAUUGUCAUCCUUCUUUGGGACUUGAGUACUUCAAUAUCCCCUUCAUGUAUCAAUGUACAUUAAAGCAUCUUUGAUAGUAAAGGACUCUCCAUGUAAAUAA